UACAUUAUGUUGUGCAAGGUGUAAUACACAACAUAAUUGCAUGCAACAUGUUUUAUCAUUAUGUGUGUGUGUGUGUGUGUGUGUGUGUGUGCAAGUACGAGCCGAGUUCAUUUGGUUAUCAUCACAAUUCCCUGACGAGGCGCACAAAGGAGCUAAAUCAGUUGAAUGGUAUUCACAAAGGGAGGCGCCCGGUGCCACGUGACUGAUGAAUACGCUCAUGCGUGUGGACACCUGGCUGGCGCACAGAGAAUAACAGGGAGGGAAUCUGGCACUUCAUCAAGUAGGACCCACUCGUGGGAAAUCGCUGUGCGAGAGCAAUGAGGACGAUGCGUUUAUCUCGCUUCCUUUGUGAUGCAUAACUGGCUCUGUGGUCCUCUCUCUCUCUCUCUGGCGUAGUUCACCAGGACGCAUCGAACGCGGCGUAGUACUACUGCAGGGGUUGUGAUGGUAAUGUGGUUCCUGGGUCAUCUGGGUCAUCCGGGAGGGGCUCAGAGAAGAGCUGCUGUUCCUUCACAUUGGGAGGAGCCAGUUGAGGUGGUCCAGGCAUCCCGUCUGGAUGCUUCCUGGACGCCGCCAUGUUGGCCUGGGAACGCCAUGGUGUUCUUCUGGUGGCCCGAGACUAGGAAUCUGGACUGCUGCCCCCCAUGACCUGGAUCAGCAGGAGGAAAUGGAGCGGAAUCCUGAGCAAAACCCAAAGUAAAAGCUUGGACUCGUGUAACUCAUGUAACUCCUUGGUCCUUUUCCUUUCUUCUUCAGCACCAUGGCGUCCUCCCAAAACAUUGAUGCCAUAUAACCCUCGCCCCCACAAUCACAAGCAAAUCUGUUAUUGCAAAACACAUUGGAAGGCAUUUGAAGAUGCGCAUAAAUUACGCAUGUCGGUCCUGAUCUGUAAUGAGAUUACAGCUGAAGGCGCAUGCAAAGUCAUUUGUGCCAAGUCGGUUAAUUGGCAGCCAAAGGACGUAAAGAGAGAAAGCCCAGUAAGAACAGCGAGCUGGAUCCAGGGCAAGACUAAUUAUUCUAGGCUGACUGCCAAAUUCAUAAUGUUACUGCUUCACAAAGACAUUUGGUUCUUGCACUUGCUCUGUGUUCCGUUAUAUGGCAGAUAUAUUCAUUUUGGGACAGAAAUAAUCCAGAGUAGUGCAGUCAACACGUUGUGUACCUGUACACCUUUUAGGAGGGUUCAUGUGACAGCGAGUUCUAAAAGUUAAGCAUCCAUUAUGUAGUAAAACAUGUUUACACUCCACUAAAGAUGAAACUCUUGCAAAUAAGAACCAUUCCGCACACAACAGCAUUUGCUGAGGUUUAGCCGGAGGUAUAAAUGUGCUGGCAAAGCUCGACAAGCACCUUUUACACAUGAUGAUAUUCAUGUGAUGAUAUAUUCAACCAAGCCACCUUGGUUAGCUUUUUCUAGCCAAGAAUUACCAACAGAUUGUUUGCAUUGUGGCAAAGCAACAAUAAGAGCCUUGCUUUCUGCUUCAGCGUGUGAGCUGCAACCGGGUGAAGAAAUAGACAAUGGCGAGGAAAGAAAACAUGAAAGUGACAUAAAUAUGGAAUUCUGGGAGAAGGGGGGCUGCCGGGGAGGCUGAAUAGGGAUGAAAAUGCUGCGAGGUAAAUAAGAUUUGCCUCCAUUUCUGCUGAUAGCUGUCAAAACACUCGCACUCUCGGCUUAAGAUACGGUGGAAGCUCAGCGCGUGUGUGUGUGUGUGUGUGUGUUUGUUAUUAUCCGUUGGGUGGGGGUCUCAUUUUAGUGAGGAGAUGAGUGAGAAGGGAAAAGAGGGAUGGGAUUCAGCCCCCAACCCAUCAUCACUCCCCACCGUCGUCUGCCAUGCCUGUGU